AGUCUCCGCCUUCUAGGCCGGAAGCCUGGCCCUCGGACACUGGAGCAGGCCUCCCAGGUUGCGUUCUGAGUGCGGGCGGUGGCGCGCGGUUUGGAGGGGGUCUGCGGCGAAUCCGCGUAGAGUUGCGGUGGAAGGGCGGCGCGGGCCGCCGUUGGAGAUCCCGAGCAGGUCGCGUAGUUGUAGCGCGCGCCGAGCCGACGGCGUCCUGCACCCCGGGCAGGACUGUCUGCACCCGGCCACGCGGCAGCCCUAGAGAAACAAUCCUGGUCAUUUUCGGUGCUAAUGCUCGGGCCUUCAAAGGUCCGUGACUCCCACUUGCAAAGACGACACUGCAAACCCUCAGAGAGAGAGGAGAGAAGAGAAGGGGCACCGACAGUCUGUGUCCCAGUCUGUCCUGUCGGCACCGACCAGGAGCGGGGAACGAUCACUGCCUUGGAGAGGCGACACGUGUAGUGUGAGACAAGCCCCGGCAUCUAGAGAGCGCUUAAUAAUGUUCGUUGUGACGUCUCAGGACAUCAAGCUGCGGGGGCGUCUUCCAGGUGGCACUGCGCACUUAGAGGGCUGCCUUUCUCUCCCAACAAGGGCACUGUUCUCGAGAGAGGGUCCUGUCCUCCAACCCGUCUAAACCAAACCCCUCGAAGGCCCAUCCCCGAUACUAUCCCAUUGUGGGGGCACAAACAUUCAGACCCGAGCAAGCCAGGAGCUACGUGUCCCUUUGGGUUAGGUUGCGGGUGACAGGCGCUAGUGCAAACUCUGGAGGCCACUGUUUCGGGGAGGUGGACAAGAGGUUCCAGGCUGUUCUCCAGUGAGCUGUUGGAACCACCUACCUCACUGCUGCAGAGCGAGAGGGCCUUGGGUUGAGAAUGGCCGAGUUCCCCCGCCAGCCCAGACUGCCCGCUGUCCUAUGCUUGCGCCGAGGCUCUUGGUGUGUUUUCGAUCUUUCCUUCUGGUUCCCUCGGUGGUUGCGCAAGCCCCUGAUGGCAGUGCUAUCCAAGAUACAGCAGCUUUAUGUCUUCCUGACUGACCCCUCCCUGAUUUAGUCUUGAGUUUUGGAAGAGUGAUAGAUUAUAUUGCUUCAAAUUAUUGCUUCCCCUCUUGAUGUUGAGCCUGGCCAUGUGACUUCCAACCCUGCUGUAAAGUAACUGCAGCACUAGUUCAGCCACAAGCUUCAACAGCAGUUGGUUGUGUGGUUGGCCAGUGCCCCUCCUGACCCCAACCUGGAAGCAGCAAGUAUACAAUGAGGGCUGCUUUUGCACCUUGAUUCACAAAUGUUCAUCUUUGCCCCGUGAACUACAAUGAAGACAUCCAGCCACAGUAGCACCAGCAAAAAAUAAACUUGUGACUCAAGUCUUAGAGACUUCAGAGACUUGUGGGUUCCUAGUUACUGUAACACAACCUAAUGAAAGCUCAUGACACAAAGACUUGCCUUAUGGAGACGGAGAGAAACAGGGUUGUGUGAGAGAAGCAUCGAUUGGUUGGUUGCCUCUCACACGCCCCCAACCACGGACUGGCCCACAACCCAGGCGUGUGCCCUGACCAAGAAUCAAACUGGCGACCCUCAGGUUCGAAGGCUGGUGCCAUAUAAGCCAGGGCUUUCUUCUUCUUCUGUUUUUAGUCAGGAUGCCUUUACACAUAUCUGAAUACCAGCCUAACUGGUGUUUAAUUAUUUCACAUGACACAAAAUCCAGAUUAGGCCGCCAAGAGCUGCUUCUGCUGCUCAGUGAUGUUGAAUGUUGUCAAAUGAUGAAAGUGCCUUAGUGGCUUUCUUGGCUUUUCCUUCCUGGUCACUGUGACCUCAGCAUCCCUAGGCCUGCAGUCCUGAUCUCGUGGCCCAGACACGGGCCUACGUGACCCUGUGUACCUGGACAGUCUCCUCCGUGCCCUGUGGCCCUGACAUGUUUUGGGACUGGAGUGGUGCAAGUACCACAUCUGUAGGUGCUGGGGUCUGUUCACACCACCUUCUGACUGGCAGGAGGCAUGAGGGUGCCCACUCUGGAGGACAGGGCAGGAUGCCGGGUCUGAGUGUGCUUGGGGACAGGCAAAACAAAACUGGUCCUAAGUUGCCAACUGCUGAAACUGGCCAGUGGGCGCCUGGUGUUGAAUAGGUUCUACUUCUGUGUUUGAGGUUUUCCAUUUGAAAAAAAAGGCCUUGUGCUGUGCUGUGUCUCAGUGUGCUGCACCUUCCAUCUCACGAGAGGUGUGGGGCAUGGCAGUCAUCCCCCAGUCUCUCCGCUGGGCUGACAUGACAAACACCACAGACAGUUCUGGAGGCUGGAAGGAUGGUGUCGGUCAGAGCUCUCCCUCUUGGCGCAGACGACUGCAUCCUCACUGGGACUUCCCAUUGUGCAGGUGUGUGGGGACAGAGAAAGAGACCUCUGGUAUCUGUUCCUUUUAACUUCCUCCCCAAGUACAUUGGGGGUUAGAAGUUCAGCCUAUGAAUUUUGGGGUGAUAGCCAGUCCAUGGCACUCACCUGCUUUCAGAAGAAGUGUGCUGGGCGCAUCGCUGCCCUGCCAAAAUCCAUUUCCUAGCCUCCCUUGCAGUUGGAUGUCGCCUGGAAACUAAGUUACCAGCAAUGAAAUGUGAGAAGCGGCACAUGCUCCUUCACAUAGCAGAAUGAACACUACCCUCUUCUUGCCCUGCCUUUCUUGCAACCCAGCCUCGACCAUCAGCGAGGCCCUUUGGGAGCAGACACUAUGCAGGAAGGAACCUGGGUUCCUGUGACCCGUGGGCAUGGCUCUCUUCCCUGGACUAUUAUAUGAGAAAUACAAUUCUGUUCUGAGCCACUGGAUUUGGCUGGGUUCCUUGGUAAGAAGAGUAGCUUAGUCUUCCCCUAAAGCUCUGGUUCUCAACUGGGGGGCAUUCUGACUGUCACAGCUUUGGUAGGGUUUCUCACAGCACCUAUCGAGUGGAGGCCAGGGAUGCUGUAAACAGCCUACAAGGCACCAGACAGGUCCCCACGGCAGAGUAUCGGGCCCCAAAUGUCAAUAGUACCUGCUCUGGAGUAAAUAGCAAUGAAAAGACAUAAUAAUGGAGUCAUCUUUCAUUUUGGCAGCUUCUAAAGCAGGGUCUCUGUAUGAGAACUCAUCACUUGCAUGAGUGAAAAACUGCUACCUGAAAGAAGUUAUUUUUGAUGUAUAAUAUAUGAAGGGCAUGAUAUGUGAUUUAUUCUGUAUAAUAAUAAAGAAUUACAUUUUUAGAUGAAUGGCAUGAAGACCAGUUUCCCCAUGGAUAAUGGGGAAAGGACAGAAAAUGACAGAACAGCUCAGAGUGGUGUGGCUCAGUGGGCUGCACGUUGUCCUGCAGCUUGAGGUUGGAUCCACACUCAGGCCACAGGCCUGGGUUGCAGGCCAGGUCCCCAACUGGGGGUGUGUGAGCAGCAACUAAUCAGUGAUUCUCUCAUAUCUAUGUUUCUCUCUCUUUCUUACUCCCUUCCCCUUUCUCUAAAAAUAAAUAAUCUUUUAAAAAAGGGAAUGACAGAACAACAAAUAGUCAAUGAAUAUGUAAGCUUAUGUUUAGCUUCACUUAAAAUCAAAGAAAUACAAAUGAAAACACUGAGGUGGUUUUUUGGUUAUUUCUCUUCUGUCACGUUAGCAACGAUGAAAAAAAAGCCCGAUGCAAUCAAGGGGUGUUUCUGCACUUUACCAAAUGUGGAAACACACUCAGCGGAGUGUCAGUUCAUUUAAAAGUAUCAGUACUCAGAAUGGACAGUACUCUUUGAACCAGCAAUACCAUUUCUUUUUUAUUGAUUUUAGAGACAGAGGGAAACAUCAGUGUGUUGUUCCACUUAUUGAUGUAUUCGUUGGUUGAUUCUUGUAUGUGCCCUGAUCAGGGAUCAAACCCACAACCUUGGUGUAUUGGGAUGAUGCUCUAACCAACUGACCUACUUGGCCAGGCGGCAAUACCAUUUCUCAGCACUUAUCCUAAAGAACUAAUAAGACUAUGUGGUAGAUUAAAGAUGUUCACAAUCUUGGUGCCCCUCCCAUUGAGAAGUUGCAUCUAAUUUCUUCUCUCCUCAAAUCUGGCUUGGCCCCAAAGAGUUGCUUAACCAAUAGCAUGUCAUGAGGUGAUGUCUUCAGACAACCAAGGUGAAGUCACAAAGAGUCUUGUAGCUUCUACUGGGGCUUCCCAGGGCUCUUCAGAAGCCUGGAGCUGCCACCUGGGAACCCUGGCCCAGAGGCCGCAUGUAGGUGCCAGUUGGAUGCAGCCCUGCAGCCACCCCAGUGAUCUCUACGGUAUCACAGAGAAGAGCAGAAUCACCCAACUGAGCUCCACCGGAAUGCUUGACUCAUAAACCUUGUGGGCUACAAUAAAAGGCUGCUUUUAAAACACGAAGUUUUCAGGUGGUUCAUUAUGUGCCACCUGGGAAAAACAUGUAAUGGGGAAAAACAGAUACCUACAGCUGUGUGAUCCAAUCAACGUUCACCAGAGCACUUUUUACAGUAAUAUUGUACAUCUGUAGGGAGCUUGUUGAAAUGGCGUACACCAACACAAUGCAGUGUAUCUAGUAAACAGGAUGAUGUAGAAUUGAGCAAAACAUGGCUAGAAUUCAUGAAGCAUAUUAAGUGAAAAAUGUACAUUGGAAAAGUGGAUAAUGUGACUCACCAAGGAGAAAACAAAUGGCCCAAAUGAAAAGUGGGCAAAAGAUCUGAAUAGACACCUCACCAAAGAAAUAAUCCUGGCAACUAUGCAUGGGAAAAGGUGCGUAAGGUCACGUUGUUGGAGAAUUGGAAAUAAAAGACACCUCCACACCCCUAUUAGAAUGACAGCUCGGAAGACUGACAAAUGCUGGCAAGGAUGUGGAGCAGCAGAAACUCAUUCAUUGGUUAUGGGACUGCAACAUGGUGCAGCCGCUGUGGAAGGCAGUUUGCAGUUUCUUUUUAUUUUUGCAGUUUCUUAUAAAACUAAGUGUAAUAUCAUAGUAUUUUCUAGCAUCACAGAAAACCAUGUCCAAACAAAACCUGUGUAUGAACGAACACAGCAGCUUUAUUUGUAAUUGACAAAACUUGAAAGCAACCUAGAUGUCCUUAAAGAAGUGAAUGCACAAACUGUGAUACCUACAGCAAAUGAAAUAUUUGGACAUUAAUAAGAAGGAAGCUGCCCUGGUCAGGUACCUCAAUUGGUUAAGAGUGUCGUCCCGAUAGGCCAAGGUUGUGGGUUUGAUCCCUGGUCAGGGCACAUACAAGAAUCAACCAAUGAAUGCAUCAGUAAGUGGAACAACUAACCAAUGUUUCUCUCUCUCUCUCUUCCCCUGUCUUCUAAAAUAAAUACAUUAAAAAAAGAAGAAAGAAGCUAUCAAGCCAGGAAAGGGCACGGAGGAAACAAAUGCAUAUUACUAAGUGAAAGAAGCUAAUAUGAAAGGGUUACAUACUAUAUAAUUCCAACUAUAUGACAUUCUGGAAAUCCAAAACUAUAGAGACACUAGAAAGAUCCAUGGCUGCCAGACGUUUUGGGGGGAGGAGGGAUGAGUACAUGGAGCACAGGGUAUUAGAUUCUGCAUGUCAUUGUGAUGGUGGCUACUUAACAUAAUCAUACAACAGAGUGAACCUGAAUAUAAACUACAGACUUCAGUUAAUAAUAAUGUAUCACUCUUGUUGGUGGGGCUCAGUAGGUUGAGUGUCAGCCUGCAAAUCAGAAGGUUUCAGUUCAGUUCCAGCCAGGGCACACGCCUGGAUUAUGGGCCAGGUCUCUAGUUGGGGGCAUGCAAGAAGCAACCAAGCAAUGUUUCUCUCACACAUCUAUGUUUCUCUCCCUCUCUUUCUCCCUCCCUUCCCCUCUCUCUAAAAAGUAAAAUCUUAAAUAAAAAUAAUGUGUCAAUAUGGUUUCAUCAA